UACGUAGGGGGCAAGCGUUGUCCGGAUUCACUGGGUGUAAAGGGCGCGCAGGCGGGUUAGCAAGUCAGAGGUGAAAUCCUACAGCUUAACUGUAGAACUGCCUUUGAAACUGUUAAUCUUGAGUGCGGAAGAGAGAGACGGAAUUCCAGGUGUAGCGGUGAAAUGCGUAGAUAUCUGGAAGAACACCAGUUGCGAAGGCGGUCUCUUGGUCCGUUACUGACGCUCAGGCGCGAAAGCGUGGGGAGCAAAC
rnacentral:rRNA from 1 species